AUGAACGCUGGCGGCGUGCCUAAUACAUGCAAGUCGAGCGAACGGACGAGAAGCUUGCUUCUCUGAUGUUAGCGGCGGACGGGUGAGUAACACGUGGAUAACCUACCUAUAAGACUGGGAUAACUUCGGGAAACCGUAGCUAAUACCGGAUAAUAUUUUGAACCACAUGGUUCAAAAGUGAAAGACGGUCUUGCUGUCACUUAUAGAUGGAUCCGCGCUGCAUUAGCUAGUUGGUAAGGUAACGGCUUACCAAGGCAACGAUGCAUAGCCGACCUGAGAGGGUGAUCGGCCACACUGGAACUGAGACACGGUCCAGACUCCUACGGGAGGCAGCAGUAGGGAAUCUUCCGCAAUGGGCGAAAGCCUGACGGAGCAACGCCGCGUGAGUGAUGAAGGUCUUCGGAUCGUAAAACUCUGUUAUUAGGGAAGAACAUAUGUGUAAGUAACUGUGCACAUCUUGACGGUACCUAAUCAGAAAGCCACGGCUAACUACGUG
rnacentral:rRNA from 1 species